rnacentral:rRNA from 1 species
GACGAACGCUGGCGGCGUGCUUAACACAUGCAAGUCGAACGGAAAGGCCCUGCUUUUGUGGGGUGCUCGAGUGGCGAACGGGUGAGUAACACGUGAGUAACCUGCCCUUGACUUUGGGAUAACUUCAGGAAACUGGGGCUAAUACCGGAUAGGAGCUCCUGCUGCAUGGUGGGGGUUGGAAAGUUUCGGCGGUUGGGGAUGGACUCGCGGCUUAUCAGCUUGUUGGUGGGGUAGUGGCUUACCAAGGCUUUGACGGGUAGCCGGCCUGAGAGGGUGACCGGCCACAUUGGGACUGAGAUACGGCCCAGACCCCUACGGGAGGCAGCAGUGGGGAAUAUUGCACAAUGGGCGGAAGCCUGAUGCAGCAACGCCGCGUGCGGGAUGACGGCCUUCGGGUUGUAAACCGCUUUCGCCUGUGACGAAGCGUGAGUGACGGUAAUGGGUAAAGAAGCACCGGCUAACUACGUGCCAGCAGCCGCGGUGAUACGUAGGGUGCGAGCGUUGUCCGGAUUUAUUGGGCGUAAAGGGCUCGUAGGUGGUUGAUCGCGUCGGAAGUGUAAUCUUGGGGCUUAACCCUGAGCGUGCUUUCGAUACGGGUUGACUUGAGGAAGGUAGGGGAGAAUGGAAUUCCUGGUGGAGCGGUGGAAUGCGCAGAUAUCAGGAGGAACACCAGUGGCGAAGGCGGUUCUCUGGGCCUUUCCUGACGCUGAGGAGCGAAAGCGUGGGGAGCGAACAGGCUUAGAUACCCUGGUAGUCCACGCUGUAAACGGUGGGUACUAGGUGUGGGGUCCAUUCCACGGGUUCCGUGCCGUAGCUAACGCUUUAAGUACCCCGCCUGGGGAGUACGGCCGCAAGGCUAAAACUCAAAGGAAUUGACGGGGCCCCGCACAAGCGGCGGAGCAUGCGGAUUGAUUCGAUGCAACGCGUAGAACCUUACCUGGGUUUGACAUGGAUCGGGAGCGCUCAGAGAUGGGUGUGCCUCUUUUGGGGUCGGUUCACAGGUGGUGCAUGGCUGUCGUCAGCUCGUGUCGUGAGAUGUUGGGUUAAGUCCCGCAACGAGCGCAACCCUUGUUCACUGUUGCCAGCACGUUAUGGUGGGGACUCAGUGGAGACCGCCGGGGUCAACUCGGAGGAAGGUGGGGAUGACGUCAAGUCAUCAUGCCCCUUAUGUCCAGGGCUUCACGCAUGCUACAAUGGCUGGUACAGAGAGUGGCGAGCCUGUGAGGGUGAGCGAAUCUCGGAAAGCCGGUCUCAGUUCGGAUUGGGGUCUGCAACUCGACCUCAUGAAGUCGGAGUCGCUAGUAAUCGCAGAUCAGCAACGCUGCGGUGAAUACGUUCCCGGG